CAUGAUAAAAUUAAUAAUGUAUUUUACGAUUAUUUUUAAUUCAUACAUUGGAGGGGGAAGGAGAAAUUGGAGAAUGUUGCAACUGUCCCCAUAGUCAGGAACGGUUGCAACAGCUAGUUAAAAUCUAGUUUUUGAUUUAGAAAUGAAGAAAAUACGAGUAACUAAUAUCUUUAAUGAAUCAAUAACUAGACUUUAUCACUCAUCAGCAUUACAGACCGGAGAAAUUCACUCUCACAUCCCACUUCAAGACUCGGACUCGGCUAACAUACAUGCUUGCUCUGAAGCGGAAAUACAUCCAACAAUAAAGACACUUGUUACUAAGCGUUACAAUAUCUCAACUUUAUCGUCAAUGAGUGGCUUUUGAAUUUUGAUAAAAUUAUAUGAACUGAAAGCAUAAUAAUAAACUAGAAUAGCCACUCGGUAGAGUGCAAAACCUCUGCCUGAAAUCAAAUUGGGUGAUUUAUCUUAAUUUGUUCCAAAGUUAUGGUUGAUAAUGCUUUUUUAUGUUUAGUGCUACCUCGACCUCACAAUAGCUUAAUGGUCUCUUACUUUGACCAUAUAUAAUCUUCGUACCAAGGUUGAUCUAAAUCAAUCUGUAACUUUUGUCGUAAUCCUGGUGACUAACAGGGGCCAAAACAUAUCUUCUGUUCAACUUCGUUUCAUAGAUAAUCAUUCAAACGAUAAUUUGCUACAAAAACAAUGAAGAACUGGCUGUAUUAUUAGAAAAAAAUAUUGAUCCUUCAUAAAAUAACUAGAUCAGCUUUUAUCCAAUAUCUCAAAGAAAAUUUGACAAAAAUUAAUGGUUUUUUUCUACAAUAGUAUGCAUUGUAAAAUACAAUUUUAAGUAAAUUUUGGAAAAAUUCCAAAUUAUGCAAAUAUCCCCGGUCUCCUUCCACUAUACGAUCAUAUCAUUUCAGGGCCGUCUCCAAGAUUAUAUUUUGGCGGGGCUUAGUUUUUUCUACCGGGUCUGAAUUAGAUCACAUUACCUUUUUUAAUGAAAAUAAAUCCUUUCUAAAUUUAUUUAUUCAUUAAAUUCCUUAAUUGGAGGAGGAGGUAGGGGGGGGGAGGGUACAGCUCCUCCCGCGGACGCUCCUACAUAUUGUUUUAAAACUACCUAUUAAUAAAAUUUUCAAAUUUCGUUUAUAAAUUGUAUAUCUAUUGCAUUAAUAUUUUACCUGACCUGCAGUUUGAUGUAAAUUGUGCUUCAGAGGGAGUUAUAAUCCAUAAAAAAUGUUGUUAUGACAAUUAACAAUGUGUAAUUAACUAAUUUUAUGACUUGUUGAAUUUUAAUAUUAAGCUAUAAGAAGGAAAUAAUGGCUGUCGAUGUAAAUUUGUUAAAAUAAAGCAGAAUCCAAUGAUUAUAGAUGAA
rnacentral:lncRNA from 1 species